rnacentral:rRNA from 1 species
AUGGCUACAACCUCCGGACACCGUUCCAAGGCGAGGAACUCCGACAGGCUUCGCGAUCUCUGCUGCGACCUGCAAGCGCAAAGGCACUCCCGGUCGCUGCUGAAAUGCCUGCUCUUCACGCUGCCGGGCCUCGCCAUUCUGGCCGCUGGCGUGCUCCUUCUGCUACGCUUCGCCGUCACCCCGCAACUCAAGGCCUACAUCGAGGACGCCCGUCUCACCAGCUUCGUUCCCGCAGGCAUCCUGUCACCGUCCGGCUCGGCGGCGACGUACAACGUCUCCAUCUCAGUCGCCAUCACGGUUCGUAACCCCAACGGAGCCAUGGACAUCAAGUACACCAAGCCCCUCGUGGCUGUCUUCCUCUUCCACGACCGGCGCCUGUACAACGUCACCGUGACGGGCGCAGGGCACAGGCACAGGCCGCUCAAGAGGGAGGUGCACAUUCUCCACACUGGCGGGGAGGUCCCGUACUUUCUGGACGCCGCCGCGGUGGAGGAGUUCACGAAGCAGAACGCGACGGGGGUGAUCAAGGUGGAGAUGCGCCUCUCUGGGCAGAUAAAGCUCGGCAUCGGCAACAUUCGCGUGCUGGAGCUCAGCUGCCCGCUCACGCUGCGGCGCCCGGCGCCACCGCCGGGCACUGAUCCUGAUGUCGUUGUAUUCCCUGAGGUGGACUGCAUACCUGACAAGCCCAAGAAAAUCGUCUUCUGA